GCGGCAGUGCUGGAACUGGCAGACAGGCACGUUUGAGGGGCGUGUGUCAACCGACGUACGGGUUCAAGUCCCGUUUGCCGCACCA
rnacentral:tRNA from 1 species